rnacentral:rRNA from 1 species
AGCGAACGCUGGCGGCAUGCUUAACACAUGCAAGUCGCACGGUUCAGGGGCAACCCUGGGCAGUGGCGGACGGGUGAGUAACGCGUAGGAAUCUAUCCUUGGAUGGGGGACAACCGUGGGAAACUACGGCUAAUACCGCAUGACGCCUGAGGGCCAAAGUCAUUGGGGCAACCUGGUGGCGUCUGAGGAGGAGCCUGCGUCUGAUUAGGUAGUUGGUGGGGUAAAGGCCUACCAAGCCUACGAUCAGUAGCUGGUCUGAGAGGAUGAUCAGCCACAU